AGCAAAUGGUUCCAAGAGUCUUCAAAAAUGAUAAAUAUGAUUGCAUUGCAUGAACUAAUGGAUGCGAUCAUACUAGCACUAAUGCAUCGGAUCCCAUCA
rnacentral:sRNA from 1 species